rnacentral:rRNA from 1 species
UUAUGCGAUACUUGGUGUGUAUUGCAGAAUCUCGUGAGCCAUUGAGUUUUUGAAUGCAAGUUGCGCCCGAAGCCAUUUUUUUGGUCGAGGGCACGCCUGCCUGGGUGUCAUGCAUGGAGUUUUCCUGGGACCUCCUCCUCCGUGAGGCCGAUUGCUCGGCUGCUUUUCAUUGGGGGUGAGGGAGAUCUCGGGCGUAUGUUGGCCUCCCGUUCCCCGUCGUGCGGUUGGUUUAAAUUUGGGGUCCUUGGUGGCAUGCAUCGUUGAAGAGCUGUCUUAAACAACGUUUGUCCUAUGUUGGCAAGUGAGCCCUCGCGGUCCCAUGGCUUCCUCGACACUUGUAUGGAGUUGCCAUUUGGACCCCAGGUCAGGUGGGAGCACCCGCCGAGUUUAAGCAUAUCAAUGAGCGGAGGAAAAGAAACUUACGAGGAUUCCCUUAGUAACGGCGAGCGAAACGGGAGUAGCCCAGCCUGGAAAUCGAAUGGCAUGACCAUUUGAAUUGUAGUCUGGAGAAGCGUCCAA